rnacentral:rRNA from 1 species
AAAGCAUUUGCCAAGGAUGUUUUCAUUAAUCAGUGAACGAAAGUUAGGGAUACGAAGUACGAUCUAGAUACCGUACGUAGUACUUAACAUACGACUAGUGCCGUACUAGGAUUCGGUGGUUUGUUACUAUUUGUACCCGAUCCGGUACACGUUAACACGUAAAAUUUCGGUAAAGUUUUGGGGGUUACGGGUUGGGUCGGUAGGCGUAGGCCGUAGGAACUUAACGAAAUUAGAACGUAAGGACGACGGACACGUACGUGAGCGAGUACGCGCGUCGCGACGUCGGCGUGGCGAGGCGACGCAGGACAGGUNAGUGCGNGCUCUNGGNCNNNGCUNNGCUGNGGCAGCUUUAUGAAAAUNGUGUCAAGCNGCUUGCUGAUCAUUGCAUGAUAUAAAUGGAUGCGUUCAUUUUGNGUUUUGAUGCCUAGUGNUUAANGGGACAUCGGGGCUAUGACUNCAUGCUGAGGUNAAUUUUCUGGGAUUUUUGAGUACGUACGUACGUACGUACGUACGUACGUACGUACGUUACG